UGUCUGUCUGUGUGUCAGUUUGUAUGUAUGUGUGUGUGUCAGUAUGUAUGUCUUUGUGUGUGUCAGUAUGUAUGUGUCAGUCAGUAUAUGUCUGUGUGUCAGUUUGUAUGUCUAUGUGUUUGUCAGUAUGUAUGUCUGUGUGUGUGUCAGUAUGUAUGUCUGUGUGUAUGUCAGUAUGUCUGUGUGUGUCAGUUUGUGUGUCUGUAUGUAUGUCGGUGUGCCAGUCAGUAUGUCUGUGUAUGUGUCAGUAUGUCUGUCACAGUGUCUGUGUGUGUGUGUCAGUGUGUAUCUGUAUGUUGUCAGUAUGUAUGUAUCUGUGUGUGUGUGCCAGUGUGUAUACCUGUGCAUGUAUCUGUAUGUAGCCAAUGUGUGUAUCUGCAUGUGUGUCAGUGUUUGUAUCU